GAUGAAGAACGCAGCAAAAUGCGAUAAGUAAUGUGAAUUGCAGAAUUCAGUGAAUCAUCGAAUCUUUGAACGCACAUUGCGCCCGCCAGUAUUCUGGCGGGCAUGCCUGUUCGAGCGUCAUUUCAACCCUCAAGCACAGCUUGGUGUUGGGACUCGCGUUAAUUCGCGUUCCUCAAAUUGAUUGGCGGUCACGUCGAGCUUCCAUAGCGUAGUAGUAAAACCCUCGUUACUGGUAAUCGUCGCGGCCACCCCGUUAAACCCCAACUUCUGAAUGUUGACCUCGGAUCAGGUAGGAAUACCCGCUGAACUUAAGCAUAUCAAUAAGCGGAGGA
rnacentral:misc_RNA from 1 species